GAGUACGACUGGGUACUCAUCGACGAGGCGCA
rnacentral:scRNA from 1 species